CUCUGCAGCCCCUUCUGUGAGUUCUCCCUCACGAAGGCCAGGGUGAUGAUUUCUUUCAGAUCUUCCAUGGCGCCGUCCUCCCUGUCUUCGGAGGCAGCCCCUUCCUCACCUUGCAACGUCAGGCACUGGAGAAUUUUCCUGGCCUGGGCCGAGCCUCUGGGGCAAUCCCAGCCCUCCCUGGAGAGAGGGCGGAGGAAGCCGCAGUUACGGGGAUCCACCUGCAGGGGGACCCCCUCCCUUGCUCAGGGAGCGGUGAACCCGGGUUCCAGUCCUGGUGACAGGCGGCCGUUUGCUCAGAGCAAGCCGGAGCCUCAGGCCUGCCGGGCAGAGGGAGAUGGUCCCAGCAAGCGCAGCCAGCCUGCAAUCUGCGACUGAGCUACAUCUGAGCAACCAGAGGGAUCAGAAGAAGAAGAAGAAGAAGAAGAAGAAGAAGAAGAACAGGGCUGCCACUAAACUCAAGCCCUCUAAGAUGAUGCCAACGCACAAGGAUAGAGCUGUACUCAGAACACGGACAGAUCAGGCGGGGUCACGGUGAACCAGUCUUCCAGAAGGCACAGGCCUGUUCUUGGCAACCUCUGAGAGAACAGACCGAGGAACUCAAAGUCCUGACCUUGAGCUGCUCCCUCUGGGGUAAACGGCCCGGCUCCACUCCCGGGUCUGAACAACCAAUGGGGCUCCUGGCCAAGCCCUGGGGAGGUGCGGCCGUUUACCCAAAGGUUAAUGUUAACCCGGAGAACUGGCCGCACUUGACCCUUGCAGCUGCGAGUCCUCUGGGACCUUUGAGCCGUCCUUGCCCAGGUGGGGAGAACAGGCCGGGUGCUCAGAUCUCUCUCCCUCAGAGAGAGCAACUGAAAGAGAGAGGAAAGCGACAAACUGCUUCCCCAAGCGGCUGAGGCCCCAAGGCCGCUUGCUGCAGUCCUGCAUUCCAGGGCCCUGGGGAUGGCGGCCCAGACACAGGCACGAGUGACAGCAGCAGUCCCUGGGAGGACCAAGUCUGCUUUGUCCCUGGUCUCCUUUCUUCCUCUCUCCCUACCCACUCCUCCCUGUUUAAUGCCCAAGGCCGCAUCCUGCUGGCUUCUCUCCAAAGGCUGCAAAUAUCUCCUUCAAAGGUUUCCUGCAGGGGCCCAGAGCCUGAAUCUCCUGGUAGCUCACAACUCAUAGAAAUGUUCACUUGGCUCUUGGAGGUGCAUUGUUAUUGCUAUAGUUGUUCAAUAGAAGUAGUUGCCAAUAACUAGAAAAUGCAGAUUUCGCAUCAAAAAACCAGAUUUCUUUUCUUUUCUUUUCUUUUUGGAGACACAGUCUCACUCUGUAGCCCAGGCUGACCUCAAACUGGAGGCGAUCCUCCUGCUUCAGCCUCCUGAGUGCUGGGAUUACAGACAUAUGCCACCAAGCCUGGCUGUGCUAUUUUAUUUUUAAGUAUCAGCCUUGGGUCCUUUCUAUACAGUGAAAACAGUCUCAUUCUCUUACAAGACUUGCUCCUACUUCUGACCUACUUGCCAGGCCAUAGAGUCUAUCCAGAAGCAUGUUACAGACACAAUCCCUCGCCCUUGAGAUACCCUUCGAGACAGUCUUUCUGCUUCUACAGAUGAGAAGCUCAGGCAUUGUAGGGCACCCCUGGGCUUGGAGCGGGCCUGGAGAUUGUGGGCCCCUAAGAAUCAGUGAGUCCCACACCACUUUCCUCAACGCCAACUGCUUCGCAGUUCCUACUCCCAACCAGGGGCUUGGAUCGCCUGGACUUCCAUAAACAAGGCCAACUGUACUGUUACCACAUUGCAUUUAUUUUCACUCUUUUUUCUCCUCCCUUUAAUGAAUAUCCAC
ensembl:lncRNA